rfam:Schistosoma haematobium scaffold18_1, whole genome shotgun sequence.
AUCCAGCUGACCAGUCAUAAAUAGGACGAAACGCGCGUCCUGGAU